AUCACAUUUACAGGAAGCCAGAUACUGGCUGAUAACGUAUGUGUUGCUGUUGCAGUGCCAGUUUUUUUUCUUUUGCUUUGUUCCAGAGCCUUUUCUUUAACUUACCAACACCAGUCAGAUAAGGGCUGAUGGCCCUCCACACUCCCACACUGCCUUUCCUGAGACGCUGGCCAAUGGCAAACUCCAGCAGCAGGAGAGGCAUUCCUUCCAGCACCAGCAGGAUCAGGUAGGGAAUCAAAAAGGCACCUGGAAAAUGCACAGGACAAAGAGAGGCAUUCUCAUCUCCUUGGGUGCAAAGUGCGGAUUGAUUGAGCUCCACACUCCCACACUACCCUUCCUCAGGCGCUGACCGAUUGCAAACUCCAGGUGCAGCAGUGGGAUUCCCUCCAGGACCACCAGGAUAAGGAAUGGGAUCAUAAACGCUCCUAGGAACAUUCACAUUAUAAAAAUGGGUUAACAAUAUGGUCAGUGAUUGACUUUAAUCAGCACUUUAAUGAAGGUAAGGGAACCUCCAGACAUUGCCAAGACCCACACAGAAGCCCACACAGGUGAGCAGAUACUGGGCUUUGUUGUCCCAUUUGGGCCUGUCCCCUGCCUCCUCCUUCUCCAUCCUCUCCAAGUCCCCAUGAGAAGGGAUCCGGUCAUCUAGAUGUGGGUUUGGUAACUUCAGCUUCAUGAUGGCUUCUUGUAGACUUUACUGGUCC